GAAAGGUUAGAGAGAGAAAGAGAAGAGAAAAUAAGGAGGAAAGGAGAAUAAACCCAAUAAAAGUGAGGGAAAUUGACGGAACUUGUGAGUCUUUCCUUGAAAAACAUUUACUCAAAUUGUGAACGGAAGAAAGAAGAAAGAAGAAGGAAAAGAGAAAAAUGAAGAAGGAAAAGAAAAGGAGAGCAAAAGCUCACAGCCAACCAAGGGAGAACACACGGGCUUAAGGAACUAAUAUUAAUACUAAAUGCAUAAUUUUUCUGAAAAUUCGAACUUUAGUGCCUUAAGUUUUGAAGCAAUAUGAGACAUCUCCAUGAUAUACUCCUAAAUAUUUCCCUUACCUGUAUACUUUAUUGAAAUUAAGCUAACUAAUAGCGUACUUGUUUUAACUUUAUCGUUUUUUUUUUGUAAAAUAUUUCUCAAUUUCUACAGUGAACUCACUUACAUUAGUGAUCUUGUCAGAUAUUGCCCCUCUAAAGGCUUCGAGAAUAUCGUACUUAAUGAUCAUUAGACUCAAGCAAUUAGACUGUUCCCACUUCUCAAAGUAUAUUCUAGCAUUAAAAGCACUUUUAGCCGUAAAAGGAGGGGGGUUGCUCAGUUCUCAAUGCAAGGUCUAGAUCCAUACAGGUUAGAACGAUUAACAAGUUCUCUUUUCAAUCCUUAAAAUUUGAACCAUUAAGUAUGAGAAUACUAUCUGCAUUAGCAGACACAGUAGUGGCAAACAUGAUUGCUGUGUGGGGAGUGAAUCAAAUAGGCAUAUAUGUUCACAUAACAAGCCAAAAAAUUAAUCUAUAACUUUUAAAUAAUUAUUGAAUACAUAUCAAGAUAUCUAGUA